rnacentral:rRNA from 1 species
UUGACCUCGGAUCAGGUAGGGAUACCCGCUGAACUUAAGCAUAUCAAUAAGGGGAU